rnacentral:rRNA from 1 species
GACGAACGCUGGCGGCGUGCUUAACACAUGCAAGUCGAACGGAAAGGCCCUGCUUUUGUGGGGUGCUCGAGUGGCGAACGGGUGAGUAACACGUGAGUAACCUGCCCUUGACUUUGGGAUAACUUCAGGAAACUGGGACUAAUACCGGAUAGGAGCUCCUGCUGCAUGGUGGGGGUUGGAAAGUUUCGGCGGUUGGGGAUGGACUCGCGGCUUAUCAGCUUGUUGGUGGGGUAGUGGCUUACCAAGGCUUUGACGGGUAGCCGGCCUGAGAGGGUGACCGGCCACAUUGGGACUGAGAUACGGCCCAGACUCCUACGGGAGGCAGCAGUGGGGAAUAUUGCACAAUGGGCGGAAGCCUGAUGCAGCAACGCCGCGUGCGGGAUGACGGCCUUCGGGUUGUAAACCGCUUUCGCCUGUGACGAAGCGUGAGUGACGGUAAUGGGUAAAGAAGCACCGGCUAACUACGUGCCAGCAGCCGCGGUGAUACGUAGGGUGCGAGCGUUGUCCGGAUUUAUUGGGCGUAAAGGGCUCGUAGGUGGUUGAUCGCGUCGGAAGUGUAAUCUUGGGGCUUAACCCUGAGCGUGCUUUCGAUACGGGUUGACUUGAGGAAGGUAGGGGAGAAUGGAAUUCCUGGUGGAGCGGUGGAAUGCGCAGAUAUCAGGAGGAACACCAGUGGCGAAGGCGGUUCUCUGGGCCUUUCCUGACGCUGAGGAGCGAAAGCGUGGGGAGCGAACAGGCUUAGAUACCCUGGUAGUCCACGCUGUAAACGGUGGGUACUAGGUGUGGGGUCCAUUCCACGGGUUCCGUGCCGUAGCUAACGCUUUAAGUACCCCGCCUGGGGAGUACGGCCGCAAGGCUAAAACUCAAAGGAAUUGGCGGGGCCCCGCACAAGCGGCGGAGCAUGCGGAUUAAUUCGAUGCAACGCGUAGAACCUUACCCGGGUUAGACAUGGAUCGGGAGUGCUCAGAGAUGGGUGUGCCUCUUUUGGGGUCGGUUCACAGGUGGUGCAUGGCUGUCGUCAGCUCGUGUCGUGAGAUGUUGGGUUAAGUCCCGCAACGAGCGCAACCCUUGUUCACUGUUGCCAGCACGUUAUGGUGGGGACUCAGUGGAGACCGCCGGGGUCAACUCGGAGGAAGGUGGGGAUGACGUCGAGUCAUCAUGCCCCUUAUGUCCAGGGCUUCACGCAUGCUACAAUGGCUGGUACAGAGAGUGGCGAGCCUGUGAGGGUGAGCGAAUCUCGGAAAGCCGGUCUCAGUUCGGAUUGGGGUCUGCAACUCGACCUCAUGAAGUCGGAGUCGCUAGUAAUCGCAGAUCAGCAACGCUGCGGUGAAUAAGUUCCCGGG